rnacentral:rRNA from 1 species
CGCGUGAGUAACCUGCCUUGGAGUGGGGAAUAACAGCUGGAAACAGCUGCUAAUACCGCAUAAUGCAGUUGGGUCGCAUGGCUCUGACUGCCAAAGAUUUAUCGCUCUGAGAUGGACUCGCGUCUGAUUAGCUAGUUGGCGGGGUAACGGCCCACCAAGGCGACGAUCAGUAGCCGGACUGAGAGGUUGGCCGGCCACAUUGGGACUGAGAUACGGCCCAGACUCCUACGGGAGGCAGCAG